CUUACUGUAAAGGCAUUUUUGUUUUGUUAUCUAGAUAUUACCUUAUUUAUUUAUUUUAUUUUCCCAAAUUCAUAGAACCGUAUGGUUCCAUAAAAUUAGUAUACCUUGUCCAUGUCAACUUCCGCAGGCCAAUACUCAAAGGAUAGGAAAGAAAAAGAACCAAAGAUGGCUCAAAGCAAUCCCCCAAGUAUUCCUAAAGCCCCUGUCGAUAAUUAUCUCCCCGAUCCCCCUGUCCUACUUCUCACCAUUAAAGUGGAUGAACCCCCUAAAGUAACCCUAUUCGAUCUGAUGACCAUAAUGAACGCCAGUGUAGAAGAAAAUAGGGAAAUUAAGUUCCAGUCUGGAGGUAUUUGAAAGGUUGCUUAGGUUUCCAAUUAAAUUCUGUAAAAAAUCUAACUGACCAAGCUAUUAACCGCAUCCAUUCUUUAGAGACAACCCAACAAUUUGUUACCACAGAAAUUGAUGAAAUUAAAACCGCAGUCCUGUAAUAUAGAAAAUACUUCCAUUUCUAUUUUAAUUUUCCAACCACACAUGAAUUCCACAAAUUUGUUAAACCCCCAAUUCAAUCUGUCAAAUUCCUUCACUCAGACAGAGAGACUAAGUGAUGCACACCAGUUCACCGGUAAUAAAUCUGAUCUCCGUCCAGGUAAAUUCUUGCAAUAAUUAAAUCAAUAUUUCAUCCAUCAAGUUAUAGAUGAUACCCAGAAGAUAGGUAUUUUUCAACGCUGUUUAUGUGCACUUGCAAGAACAUGGUUCGAUUCAUUAGUACCCUGUCUCGAUACCUAUGUAGAAUUAGUCAAUCUUUUCCGACAACAAUUUUGGACCAUGUCCACCCAACAACAUGUACAUCACAAGUUGUUCUCCCCAUAUCAAUAUAAAUCUUCUCAAGGAUUUCCCUUGGGAAAUGACACAGAGGCCCACAUAUGAAUCCGCCGCGCGGCAGUGACUCAAGUCCCCGAUAAGCGUUCCCACCGUCCCUGUUUUUUGACUCCAUAUGUUUCCCCAUCACAAACUCCUCUCGAAACAAUGCUUGUCACCACACCAAUCACCACUCGACCUGGUCUCGAAGUUUUCAACAUCCAGUUCAAUCAAAUAAUUAAAAAUUUAAUUAUUAACCUAUUAUUAAUAGGUCUGAAUAACAAACUGAGAAAAAUAAGUUACGUAAGUAAGUCAAUAAAUGCUGCUGAACAAAAUUAUUCUAUUACUGAAUUAGAGUUAAAAUCCAUUGUCUAUGCUUGUUCUAAAUUUUGUAUCUUUAUAAUAGGUUACCCCUUCUAUGUACUAACCAACCACCAAGCCCUCAUGUUUCUUUUCUGUCGGCUAAGAAAAGCACAUGUUACCCGUUGGACAUUAGCUCUUCAAGAAUUCGAUUUAAGAAUUCAACAUAUCCUCGGUCUCAUGUUUCUACUUUUCCCAAUAAUUUGGAAAACCUGGAAAAAAUGAAAAUAAACUAUAAAUAACUAAUACCAUCAUGUAUAGGUUAACAUAUUUAAAUAUUAUAAAUAAUGUAAUUUUACGCCAAACAUAAUGUAGACAAAUAAUAAAUGUUAAAAAUGAACGAAAUUGCAAACAAAUUUAAUAAUGUAAAACAAUUAUUCACCAUAUGAAAUCAUUGUAAAAUUCAAAAAAAUAAAGCAUAUUUUGGCAACUUUGGAAC